AAAAAAAAAUGAGUAGCAAAACAAGACACAAAUUGUCCAGUUAUCAUUAUGAAGACAACCAAUUGUUGGUUAUUAAGGAAUACAAAAGAAAGGAUAAAAAAAGGUCAAUUGACAAAAAAGAAAUAAUUUACAAGAUAUGAUUUAUCUGCAUCUAAAGUAUCAAUUCCAAUUCGACUCAUAUUCCCCAAAAAAUGGAUCCCGCUCUAAUAGCUCCGAAUAAAUUAAAUACAUGCACUAAGAUAUGAAGGCUUCUUAUUCCAUAAUAGCAAAAGCACUUUUUCACUCUUUCAUAUACUAGGGAUUUCACUUGAAAAAGAAAAUGUUUCAUACUAAUCGAUAGGGCCUCAUUGUUAAGUGCUACAAGAUCUCGUGCAUUGAAACCCAUGGUUAUGUACCCAGAUCGAAGUUAAAAAAUACAUUGAUUGACUUAAACUUCUUAUUUACAGAUGUACAAACUGGAAUUGGAAAUANUUUUAUCUGUGAUUUUGUUUGAAUCUAGAAAGAAUACAGAAAUAGACUAAGAUGCCACUUCAAAUUUGAAUGAAGAAAUAAUCAAAAAUAUUGUUUUCGGAUAUCUCAAUUGGUCAAAUUUGAAACAAGUGUCUCCAAAUGAAUGAAAGAAGUACUUUAAGGAAUGAAUAUUAUUAAGAUUUUAAGGCAAAAGAUUUCCUUUUCUAUCAAAAUAUCCAGUAUUUAGAAAAAAAUUCCACCGAUUACCCAUAGCCAGGAAUAGAAUAAUUGAGAGAAAGAUAUUGUGAUGAUCAAAAAAAUGAGUAGCAAAACAAGACAGAAAUUGUCCAGUUAUCAUUAUGAAGAAAACCAAUUGUUGGUUAUUAAGGAAUACAAGAGAAAGGACAAAAAAAGGUCGAUUGACAAAAAAGAAAUAAUUUACAAGAUAUGAUUUAUCUACAUCUAAAGUAUCAAUUCCAACAAAUAUUGAAUAAAAAAAGAAAUUUCUUUCUUUCGAAAUCGUUUGAUAUAUGAGAUGAAUUGAAUCUAUUAGGUCAAUUUGUUAUACUUGUUGUUGAAUUGAGUUACGUGGCUUUCUAGAUGCCACAAAAAGAGUUUUCUUUUAUGGUUGUUCCAUAUAUAUCGGCUUUGGCUCAACUUAACGUUCUGACAAAACUUCAGUUAAGUUUUGUUAUAGAAAAAAAGAGGAUUCUUGCAUUUUGCCCUCCUGUUGAGAAAGCAUUCAUUCUUCAGCCCAUAUUUAUAUUUCUCAAAAGACUUUAAUUGGUACGUGCAAGAAAUAGGCCAAUUCUAUAGCUUUUUGUUCAAUUUCUCGUGGAGUUAAAUUCUCAUCAGUAUGGGUCAAGGGAAUGGCCCCCUAGCCUGUGAUAUCCAUAUAAAGGACACAAAGAGCAUAAAUACCCUCUUUAACUUGUAUUCUGAUGGACUGAAUAUCUUUUAUAAGGAAUCGGAGGAAUAUGCGACGAUUUUUUCCAGGAAAUCCCCAACGAGAAAUACACACUAUCCCUUUUUUUCUAUCAAAUCGAUCAUAACCAAUACCUACAUUCUAGGAAAUUGUGCACCACAAAUAGGAACAAAUAAAGAGACCCGUGAUCCCGUAGAAAGACAUCACUAUCCCUUGUGGAAAAAAAUGAUUUGCUAAGACGAAAAAAAGAUAUCAAAUUUCUACCAAGAUAAUUGGAAGUUCCAACCAAUAAGAAUCCUAAUGAACCUAAAAAAAAAAGGAUAAGCAUAAAUUACUUAGUUUUCGAGACCCCGUUAUAAGUUCUAUUCAUAUAUCUUCUGAUCUCCAACUCAUACUUGAUCUGAUUGCGUUUUAUUGGAAUUGAGAGAAUACCACAAAUGAAUUUGACUUUACUUUAACUCAUUAGAUUCCGUAGUAGGUUUAAGGAUC
rnacentral:lncRNA from 1 species